CUCGCUGUGGGCGGGGUCCUGUCAAAGGCGACACAUGGUCCAGGUGGAAAUUAAACUCCAUCAUCGACGACAAGGAAUUGUCAUCAAUAUUUGAUUAGUGUCGCCCGCAGAAGAGGCUCGCUCUGCCACCUGUUGUCGAGGGGCGCUAUCCGGAGAUCGAUCAUUGAAGGCCGAGAUGACUCUUGUAAAGAUAUAGGACUGAGCCUGUGUCGUUGGAAUCCCUCCAUUAUAUGAGAUUCCAAUUCGUUAACCCCGCGUUCAUCCGAGAGACAAUAAAAGAGAAAAAAGUGAAUACAAGAUAAAGGAAGAUUUCUCCUGAUGAGGAUAGUAACCCCAAAUCGGGAGAUCGCCGGCAGACGAUACAACUCCAAAAGCACGCGACAGAUGUCGAGAGCACGUGCCGCCCCGAAACUUUCUCCCAGCUACAAACAAAAAGUUCAGGGGGGUACAUACAGACGGCUUGUUACCCCUCAUUCACACCGCGAUUUUUGAAAAUAAAGCGAUACCGUUCCCCAAAACCAGUAAAGUACAUAAGACUUUGAAUAAAGGUGGCCAUUGUGACGGAGUUAGCGGUUGCGAUGUCGCCAUUCCCAACACUUGUGGAAUUUUCGUCUGGGAACAAAGCUAUAUAAUACACCGAAUUUGUUUAAUCUCAACACCAAAGAUCAUACAUUAACAAUAUUGACACGUAUAGCGGUACAAAUUCAUUAAAAAGUGAAAAUAAACACAAAUCGACAGCUGUUGACUUUUUGUUGAUCAAAACUCCUAGAGUUAAAAACGUUAGUUGUGGAAUUCAAAUCUAAAUAUGCUGUAGUUCCAAAAUUACACCCG